rnacentral:rRNA from 1 species
GAGCGGAGAUAUAUGGAGCUUGCUUUAUAUAACUUAGCAGCGAACGGGUGAGUAACACGUAGAUAAUCUAUCCUAUACUGGGGGAUAGCCCGAUGAAAGUUGGAUUAAUACCGCAUAUAGCUAUAUAGUUGCAUGAUUAUGUAGUGAAAGAUUUAUUGGUAUAGGAGGAGUCUGCGGCACAUUAGCUAGUAGGUGAGGUAAAGGCUUACCUAGGCGACGAUGUGUAGCCGGUCUGAGAGGAUGAACGGCCACAAUGGAACUGAGACACGGUCCAUACUCCUACGGGAGGCAGCAGUGGGGAAUAUUGCACAAUGGGGGAAACCCUGAUGCAGCAACGCCGCGUGAGUGAAGAAGGUUUUCGGAUUGUAAAGCUCUGUUAGCAGGGAAGAGGAAGGACGGUACCUGCAGAGGAAGCCACGGCUAACUACGUGCCAGCAGCCGCGGUAAUACGUAGGUGGCAAGCGUUGUUCGGAAUAACUGGGCGUAAAGGAUGCGUAGGCGGUUAAACAAGUUAUGUGUUAAAUAUAUAGGCUUAACCUGUAGAAAGCAUAUAAAACUGUUUAACUAGAGUGCAGGAGAGGUAAGUGGAAUUCCUAGUGUAGCGGUGAAAUGCGUAGAGAUUAGGAAGAACACCAGUGGCGAAGGCGACUUACUGGACUGUAACUGACGCUGAGGCAUGAGAGCAUGGGGAGCAAACAGGAUUAGAUACCCUGGUAGUCCAUGCUGUAAACGAUGGGUACUAGGUGUGGGUUGUGAAUAACAAUUCGUGCCGUCGCAAACGCAAUAAGUACCCCGCCUGAGG